GGGGAUUUAGCUCAGUGGUAGAGCGCUUGCCUAGGAAGCGCAAGGCCCUGGGUUCGAUCCCUAGCUCUG
rnacentral:tRNA from 1 species